GUGGGAAUAUUGGUCAAUGGGCGCAAGCCUGAACCAGCGAUGCCGCGUGUGCGAAGAAGGCCCUAGGGUUGUAAAGCACUUUCAGUCGUGAAGAAAACCUGAUGAUUAAUAAUCAUCGGUCUUGACGUUAGCGACAGAAGAAGAUCCGGCUAACUCCGUGCCAGCAGCCGCGGUAAUACGGAGGGAUCGAACGUUAAUCGGAAUUACUGGGCGUAAAGCGCGCGUAGGCGGUUCGAUAAGUGGAGUGUGAAAUCCCUGGGCUCAACCUGGGAACUGCAUUCCAAACUGUCGGGCUAGAGUAUGGUAGAGGGAGGUAGAAUUUCUUGUGUAGCGGUGAAAUGCGUAGAUAUAAGAAGGAAUACCGAUGGCGAAGGCAGCCUCCUGGACCAAUACUGACGCUGAGGUGCGAAAGCGUGGGGAGCAAACAGG
rnacentral:rRNA from 1 species